rnacentral:rRNA from 1 species
UACGGAGGGUGCAAGCGUUGUCCGGAUUUAUUGGGUUUAAAGGGUGCGUAGGCGGUCAACUAAGUCAGUGGUGAAAGGCAGCAGCUCAACUGUUGCACUGCCAUUGAUACUGGAUGACUUGAGUACAGACGAGGUAGGCGGAAUUUAUGGUGUAGCGGUGAAAUGCAUAGAUACCAUAAAGAACACCGAUUGCGAUGGCAGCUUACUAGGCUGUAACUGACGCUGAGGCACGAAAGCGUGGGGAUCGAACAGG